UACGUAGGGUGCAAGCGUUAAUCGGAAUUACUGGGCGUAAAGCGUGCGCAGGCGGUUCUAUAAGACAGCUGUGAAAUCCCCGGGCUCAACCUGGGAACUGCAUUUGUGACUGUAGAGCUGGAGUACGGUAGAGGGGGAUGGAAUUCCGCGUGUAGCAGUGAAAUGCGUAGAUAUGCGGAGGAACACCGAUGGCGAAGGCAAUCCCCUGGACCUGCACUGACGCUCAUGCACGAAAGCGUGGGGAGCAAACAGG
rnacentral:rRNA from 1 species